rnacentral:lncRNA from 1 species
UUACAUCCCUCCCUCCUUAUAAAAAUUUCGUCCUCGAAAUUGCAUAUCUGGGUAAUCUAGUUUGGGAUACUAGACUUCACUAUCAGUGCGGCUACAUAGCUUGAUUGUUAUCGCAUCUUUCUAAUUGUGAGAACACCAUGUCUAUAGUCUCGAGAACUGGUGACAAACGAACUCAUUCUAAUCAUAUCAUGCUUAUCGUGAUGGAAGCAAAAUCUUAUUGUGACAACUACAUAGUGAGAGUCUAUACAUUGGGAUGACGCUCUAUCUCGAGAUCAAAAAUCUUAAUUGACAAUCACCGAGAUCUUAGUCAUGUGGGCUGGCCAGACCCAGCACGGCGAGUCACUCAGUCAAAUGGGAGCUUCGCCCCCAAUCAUGUCAACAUCUUAUCUCUUAUAAGGCUCUAAUUGAACUUCUAACUUAAGCACUUACUUCUAAGUACUUCAAUCAUAAAUCAUUGGUACCAUAUAAAUCCAUUCUAUGCCGUUCUAGUGCUGCUAUCACGACUAACAUUCUUAAGACAUUAUUGGGUGGUUCUCAAACGAUUUGUAAAAGAACUCAUCAUUCUAAUCAUAUAGGCAGUGAACCUAAAAUGAUAACAUAAAGCUUUCUCAUCAUUCAUUCAUACAUACAUACAUACAUAUAUUUGCUUUCUUUGAAAUUUUGAGUCAUAUGGACAUUAAAUGUCCCUUUCAUGAAAAACUUUGCUUAUGCCGGAAAGAUUCAAGGAAUCUAACUCGACCAUACAUACAUACAUACAUUGAUUCGUUAAGGGCUCGGGUUGUCUCAAACACGAAAUACAUUCAUUGAGUCGUUAUGGGUUCGGGUAGUCCCAAACA